GUGCAUUGAGCUGAGGUCAGUAAUUGCCCACUGGGAACUAUAAAUUAUAGUUCUCACGCCCUCUUUUUCUCGAUGUUUUUCAGAGCCUUCCACGCAGGGUGAGGCCAGGGAUCGCGGGAAGGGAGUUGCUUCGAGCUAGCUUCCUUCGAGGACGAGUUGCUAGGUGGUCUACCUCUCGAUAUUUUACCUUUUUGGCGAGAGGUUGAGGGUUUUACCAGUGUACUAGAGACCAUCAUUUUUGUACUAGAGACAGAUAUUGUACUACUUAUGAUUUUUUUUAUUGUCUAGCUUUAUUUCUUUACUUUGGUGUAGAUGAUAGAACUUUACUCGCUCUGAUAUCAUUAGUUGCUAGUUAUUUUACUUCUUUUAUUUGUUCUAUCUCUUGCUUUACUUCCGCUUUUGUUGUAGACGCCUUAUAUGUGUAGACAUAUGGCGGGUCUGUGCACGCUAUUGGAAGGGCCUUCGCCGGUCCCGGGGCGUGACACGCCGGGUCCAUAUCCGUAAGACGGCUAAAACGGUAGACCUAGAGUGCACUGGACGCAUACGAGCCGCGCUGGACCGAGGAGUUAUAGCAACC
rnacentral:lncRNA from 1 species